ensembl:lncRNA
CUCUAAACUUACAACAUUUUAAUGUAACAAAUUUUUUUAAUAGAAGAAUUUUAGACAAAAUGAAAAUAGGUAAAAACUAUAUACAUGCACAGAACUACAAUCAUAAUGGAGAUGGUAAUUGGUAUGAAAAUGAUUUCCAAAAUGACUUCGAAAAUGACUUCGAAAAUGACUUCGAAAAUGACUUCGAAAAUGAUUUUCAAAAUGACAACGAAAAUGAUUUCCAAAAUGACAACGAAAGUGGUUUCCAAAGUGACAACGAAAGUGACAUAAGCAAAACUAAUUACGAACAUGACGACAAAAUCGGCGUAUAUAUAAAUGAACAAAGUACGCUGCCACGAGAAAAUAACUUUUUUAAUAAUUGGAGUUAUUCAUUAAAAAGAAUGUUUAUUUUAAAAAAUUGUAAAAAUGAAGGAAACUGUAAAAUAGCUGAUAAGGAAAUAAGUAAAAUAAUCGAUCACGAACAGUACAAAAUUAAUGAUCUACCAACCAGUGCGGGUGACGUAUUAACCAGUACGGGUGACGUAUUAACCAGUACGGGUNNNNNNNNNNCGGGUGACGUAUUAACCAGUACGGGUGACGUAUUAACCAGUACGGGUGACGUAUUAACCAAUACGGGUGACGUAUUAACCAGUACGGGUGACGUAUUAACCAGUACGGGUGACGUAUUAACCAGUGCGGUGGGGGGUGUAACGACAAAUACAGAUACUGAACAAAUUUUAAAACAAUUAAAAACCAGUUUAAAUACAAUCCGAACGAGUAAAAAAUGUAAAUUUGUUGAUAAUGAUGAAGUUGAUAUUCUUGACAGAGUAAGUGGUGUAAAUAAAAAUAAUAAAAAUAAAGACAGCGAUGAAAUUGAAGAGUUAAACGAAACGAAUGAAACAAAUUAUACUAAUAAAUAUAACUGUUAUAAUAAUAUUAAUGAAGAUAAUGAUAGUUUACAUAAUAAAAGUAAUGACAAACAAAUAAAAAUUGAAAACAUAGAAAAUUGUAAUAAAUUAAAAAAGGAAAUGGAUAAUAUUGUAUAUUAUAAUACAAGUAUGUAUUAUUCGUUAAAUGAAAUACUGAGUAGAAAAGUUGACAUGCAAAAAAAUACGAAAACUUUAUUAGGUAAAAUAAAUGUUUUUUUAAACUCUAUUAUGUUUUUAACUGUUAUAUAUAAAAUUAUUAUGUCAAUUUUAAAUAUUAUAUUUAUAAGAAUAUAUAUAAGAGAUCCUUUUUCAAAACUUAUUGAAAAAAUUUGCUCAUUUUUUAAUAUAAAAUAUAAUAUUGCUAUUAUAUAUGCACCAUAUAUAUCAGUCAUAUAUAUAUCAUAUAUUGUGGCAAUAAACAUGAAAAGAUUUUUACAACAUGUUAUUCAAAUUUCUACUUAUUUUUCAUUUUACUCCAAAUUAUUUUCAAAUGUGUGGAUAUUUAUUAUAUCUGAAUUGAUGGGCCUUUAUUUUGUAACGAACUCAUUACUCUUAUCUUCUUAUUUACCAAUGAAUUAUAAUAAUAUUAUGAAUUUUGCUACAGGAAAUUAUUAUGAUUAUAAUAUAUUUCAUUUGCAUUCAGAUUAUGUUUUCAUUGUGUCUUUAUUCACAACUUUAAUUUUUUAUUUCUUAUACAUGAUUUAUUUUUAUGUAUUUUGAACUUUAAAUCAAUUUAUGUGUGCUUUU